rnacentral:rRNA from 1 species
GACGAACGCUGGCGGCGUGCUUAACACAUGCAAGUCGAACGGAAAGGCCCUGCUUUUGUGGGGUGCGCGAGUUGCGAACUGGUGAGUAACACGUAAGUAACCUGUCCUUGACUUUGGGAUAACUUCAUGAAACUGGGUCUAAUACCGGAUAAGAUCUCUUGCUUCAUGGUGGGGGUGGGAAAGUUUCGGCGGUUGGGGAUGUACUCGCGGCUUAUCAGAUUGUUGGUGGGGUAGUGGAUUACCAAGGCUUGGACGGGUAGCCGGGCUGAGAGGGUGACCGGACAAAUUGGGCCUGGGAUACGGCCCAGACUAGUACGGGAGGCAGCAGAGGGGAAUAUUGCACAAUGGGCGGAAGGCUAAUGCAGCAAAGCCGCGUGCGGGAUGACGGCCUUCGGGUUGUGAACCGAUUUCGCCUGUGACGAAGCGUGAGUGACGGUAACGGGUGAAGAAGCACCGGCUAACUACGUG